rnacentral:rRNA from 1 species
UACAGAGGUCUCAAGCGUUGUUCGGAUUCAUUGGGCGUAAAGGGUGCGUAGGUGGCGCUGUAAGUCGGGUGUGAAAUUUCGGAGCUUAACUCCGAAACUGCAUUCCAUACUGCGGUGCUUGAGGACUGGAGAGGAGACUGGAAUUUACGGUGUAGCAGUGAAAUGCGUAGAUAUCGUAAGGAAGACCAGUGGCGAAGGCGGGUCUCUGGACAGUUCCUGACACUGAGACACGAAGGCCAGGGGAGCAAACGGG